rnacentral:rRNA from 1 species
GGACCAGACUCCUACGGGAGGCAGCAGUGAGGAAUAUUGGUCAAUGGGCGCGAGCCUGAACCAGCCAAGUCGCGUGAGGGAAGACGGUCCUAUGGAUUGUAAACCUCUUUUGUCGGGGAGCAAAAGACGCCACGCGUGGCGUUCCGAGAGUACCCGAAGAAAAAGCAUCGGCUAACUCCGUGCCAGCAGCCGCGGUAAUACGGAGGAUGCGAGCGUUAUCCGGAUUUAUUGGGUUUAAAGGGUGCGCAGGCGGAAGGUAAAGUCGGCGGUAAAAGUGGGGGGCCAAACCGCUGCGGGCCGUUGAAACUGGCUUGCUAGAGUGGGCGAGAAGUAUGCGGAAUGCGUGGGGUAGCGGUGAAAUGCAUAGAUAUCACGCAGAACUCCGAUUGCGAAGGCAGCAUACCGGCGCCCAACUGACGCUCAGGCACGAAAGCGUGGGUAUCGAACAGGAUUAGAUACCCGCGUAC